rnacentral:rRNA from 1 species
AGUGAACGCUGGCGGUAGGCCUAACACAUGCAAGUCGAACGGCAGCACAGAGGAGCUUGCUCCUUGGGUGGCGAGUGGCAGACGGGUGAGGAAUACAUCGGAAUCUACUCUGUCGUGGGGGAUAACGUAGGGAAACUUACGCUAAUACCGCAUACGACCUACGGGUGAAAGCAGGGGAUCUUCGGACCUUGCGCGAGUGAAUGAGCCGAUGUCGGAUUAGCUAGUUGGCGGGGUAAAGGCCAACCAAGGCGCCGAUCCGUAGCUGGUCUGAGAGGAUGAUCAGCCACACUGGAACUGAGACACGGUCCAGACUCCUACGGGAGGCAGCAGUGGGGAAUAUUGGACAAUGGGCGCAAGCCUGAUCCAGCCAUACCGCGUGGGUGAAGAAGGCCUUCGGGUUGUAAAGCCCUUUUGUUGGGAAAGAAAUCCAGCUGGCUAAUACCCGGUUGGGAUGACGGUACCCAAAGAAUAAGCACCGGCUAACUACGUGCCAGCCGCCGCCGUAA